AGCUCAAGUUGGAACCUGGCUGCCCUAGGCAGUCCGGAUUGUAAACUAAAGAGCGUGAUUCCAGGCAAGCCGGUUGACCAAGUCCUUUGGAAUGAGGCGCACUGAGGGUGAGAGCCCCGUAAGUCGACUGAGCAUUUGUCUUUUUGUGUUUCGCGUUCAAAGAGUCAGGUUGUUUGGGAAUGCAGCCUAAAGCUGGUGGUAAAUCCCACCUAAAGCUAAAUACAGGCGAGAGACCGAUAGCGAACAAGUACCGUGAGGGAAAGAUGAAAAGAACUUUUGAAAAGAGAGUUAAACAGUAUGUGAAAUUUGCCAAGAGGGAAGCAUUUUGGAGUUUAGAUUUGACUAGGAGUUAAUCAGCUUUGGUCUUUGGACUGGGUGUAUUUUGAUUUCUUACAGUCUGCCAAUAGCAGUUAGUCCUAGUGGAAAAAACCAGAGGGAAGGUAGUCCUUCGGGAUGUUUAUAGACCUUUGGAAAAUACACUGGGAUUGACUGAGGAAUGCAGUAGAUGCCACUAAGGCUUCGUCUAGUGGGUGCUAGGCAAAGGUACUUGGUAUUUUCAGCUUGCUGAUGUACUAGGUUACUCGAGUCUAGUCGCCUACUAGAACUGUAAUCUACUUUGGUUAUUGGCUUAAUGACUCUAAAUGGCCC
rnacentral:rRNA from 1 species